UACGUAGGCAGCGAGCGUUGUUCGGAGUUACUGGGCGUAAAGAGUGCGUAGGCGGUUUUCUAAGUUUGGUGUGAAAUCUCCCGGCUUAACUGGGAGGGUGCGCCGAAAACUGGAAGGCUUGAGUAUGGGAGAGGUAAGCGGAAUUCCUGGUGUAGCGGUGAAAUGCGUAGAUAUCAGGAGGAACACCUGCGGUGUAGACGGCUUACUGGACCAUAGCUGACGCUGAGGCACGAAAGCGUGGGUAGCAAACAGG
rnacentral:rRNA from 1 species